CUACCGGUGCCCUAGGAACAUUGCCAAAAUACCGAAAGGGGGCUUCUAGCUUCCAACAAUCCAAAUCCCGUCGUUCAUCAAUAAAUAUAUUUAGAACAUUAAUCCUUAAUUUCUACUAUAAAGAAGGGUGAACUAGAUUUUGUAUACUGACAAAAAAUUGGAGAAACAAAACCGGGCAGUCACUACUUACUCGACUGCUAGCACAUACUCA
rnacentral:lncRNA from 1 species